rnacentral:rRNA from 1 species
CCCGCACAAGCAGCGGAGCGUGUGGUUUAAUUCGAUGCAAAACGAAGAACCUUACCAAGGCUUGACAUGAUAGAAGUAGUGAUCCGAAAGGGGAACGACCUGUUGAGUCAGGAGCUACCACAGGUGCUGCAUGGCUGUCGUCAGCUCGUGCCGUGAGGUGUUUGGUUAAGUCCUGCAACGAGCGCAACCCCUGUUGCCAGUUAUAUUCUCUGGCGAGACUGCCUCGCAAAACGGGGGAGGAAGUGGGGAUGACGUCAAGUCAGCACGGCCUUUAUGCCUUGGGCUACACACACGCUACAAUGGGUGGUACAAUUGGUUGCAAUAGAGCGAUCUGGAGCUAAUCCUAAAAACCAUCCUCAGUUCAGAUUGCAGGCUGAAACCCGCCUGCAUGAAGUUGGAGUUGCUAGUAACCGCUUAUCAGCAUGGCGCGGUGAAUACGUUCUCGGGCCUU